AUGUGAUUCUUGGGCUGUCCAUAGGCAGAGUGGCUGCUUUGGCGGGGCUUGACAGCUGGCCUGCAAGCAAAGCUGAGUUAAUAGAAGAAAUAACACGUGAUGAUUUUCGGUGUAUCCAUAGCAAGGAAGAAGACAAGGCCGUCAGCAUGGAAACCGAUUAGAAAAGAUACAUGAGAAUUUUUGUAAGCUAGACUACGUGCCUAAGUGGAUGUGUAUACGUGCCUUAUUAAAUUUCUGUUAAACUUUUGCCAAUUAUAUUGAUGCUGAUUGCUUUGCACCAAUGAAUAUAAUAAGUUAUUGUGAUGUAGUUAAUGACUUAAGAUCACGCUUUGUUAAGGGUGUAUAAACUGGAGAAGAUGCAGAAUAAAAACUUUUUUUCUUCCUGGACUUUGGUCACGUGUGUAUGUCACGUCCGGCCUAACGGUGACAUUUGGUGCUACCCUGACGUGAUGGAACUGCCGGGCGAGGGGCAGUGAGCACAGAGCCCAGCGAAGCUGAGAGCAGCGGGGUGCAGCUGCCAGUCCAGACCUGAUUCUGACACCUGGAAAAAAGCAUUUAGAGUGGAUCUGAAACCUUUGAAAACUGGUGGGGCAGACCCAAAGAGCUGGCUGAACAGCUGGGAGAAAAUUUCCCCCAGUGUCAUUUCCUCACAGCCUUCAAGGCCUGAGUGAAGACAACAGCCCCUCCUGCAUAAGCAUAUUUGUUCAGGUGAUGUUCGAGGGAAGAACAGCAGAACUACUUUGAUCUGCUGGCCCAGAAGAAACAGUGGCUCUUUAAGACCUCCAGAUCCUUUGGAAGGUGAGACCACCUGGAGACCAGAGUAGAUCAGCUGGAGCUCCAGGCACAGCUGAUGACUGGAACAACUGAGCCUGUGGGAAGCUCCCACAGCUCCUGCCUUCUCUCUUGCUGUUGACAGCUCCCUCCCUCCAGCCCUCAGAACCUGCCCAUCCCCUUUCUUCCCUCCCAGCUCAUCUCUUUCCUUUGCCUUCCAUUAAUAAACAGUUUGGCUUCUUUGCUUUACCUGCA